ensembl:ncRNA C14A11.10 ncRNA
GACGCCAAAAUGGUUUAUGACUAGUGACUGACUCAAGCUCUAUACACACACAACACUGAAUAAUUCUUUUUCCAGGGCCUAAGGCGGUAAAGUACAAAGAGUAAUGAAUCUGAAAAAUGGAGGGGGGGGGGGGGGUAGUUAAAUGAAGUGGACAAAGGGCGAAAGGAGAUUUCGUUGGGUUGAAUAAAUUGCAGGAAAUCCAGGAAAUCGUUAACCUAUCUAGAAAUUUGAAUGAGGUAUAGGUAUAGAUCAUUCAAAAAAUAAGGGAUUGAUUUUCCUUUUCAAACUAAUAAAAA